UACGGAGGGUGCGAGCGUUAUCCGGAUUCACUGGGUUUAAAGGGUGCGUAGGCGGCUAGGUAAGUCCGUGGUGAAAUCCUGCAGCUUAACUGCAGAACUGCCGUGGAUACUAUCUAUCUUGAAUAUCGUGGAGGUUAGCGGAAUAUGUCAUGUAGCGGUGAAAUGCUUAGAUAUGACAUAGAACACCCAUUGCGAAGGCAGCUAACUACGCGAUCAUUGACGCUGAUGCACGAAAGCGUGGGGAUCAAACAGG
rnacentral:rRNA from 1 species